GGUUUACACUUGAUCUCUGAACUUCAGGUAAGUUCACUUGUGGAUAAUUCAUGAACUGAUGCC
rnacentral:snoRNA from 1 species